CCUCUCAUUUUUUGCCUUUAAUUCUGUUAUACUGUAAUAAGAAUUAAUGAUUGCAUUUUCAUUAUGUUUUCUGAUGCAGUGCCAUGGUGUCAAACAUAUAUUUGAUAUUUGAAACGUUUGUCCAGAAUUUGAAAGUCUCAUAUUUGUUAGUGAGCUUGCAUCCUGAUGGCUUCCAUUGAACACUAGAUCAGCGUGUAUGUUUCAUUGAACACCAGACCUGCAUCUUGGUGAUUUGCUGAUUUGUUAUAUGGUGAUUGUACUGCUUUUUAUUUGUUAAUUUACUUGACCUUUGGAUUAGGGACCGUGUGUUGCACAUAUUAUUUGAUUGACUGCAAGUCUUCAAUCUAGGAUAGUGACAAGGAAUUUGGAUGGUCUGAUACAAAUGCCACAUUUUGUGUGUUUAUUGUUAGGUGACUUUUGUAAUAGUGCAAGUGGUAUUUUUAGAAUUCCACAGCGUAAUUCCUUGUUUGUUUGCUCAUGUUCCUGUCGUGCAUACUUCAGUUGAUGGAAUGGGGUGUGCACAUAGCCAUUCAGGACAAGAUAGGAUCAGAGUAGAUAUGGGACCUCAAGAGAUUUGGAGCAAACUUAAAAGGUUAAAGCUUCAGGUUACUAUCGUGCUCAAGAUGUUUAUGCAAAAAUUGAUGUACCGGCACUACUAAUUCCUGUGCUUGAAGAAACAUUUUCCGGUAUAUCAUCUUGUAAAAACCAAUUUAGGGUUCAUUGCAAUAUGGAAAGCGUUUUUAUUCCUUUAUCUGAAUCAUUCAAUCAUCAAGCAAUGAGAGAAACUGAGUUGUGAUGGUAGAUUGUGAAAUCCUGUUACUCCAUAUAUGCUGCUCAACGUAAAAGGAAUAAAAACAAACAUAGCGUCUCAUGUAUAGCUAAUGUUGCUGUAGAUUUCAGGUUCUAGAGGGCUCCUGGGCUUGCCACUACGUACUGCAGAUGCAUAUUAUGCAUGGCAAAUGAUGAUCAAGCCCUGUCCACAUGCCAACAGGUUCCCCUUUUUACUGCUCUAAUCUGAUUGAGUUAAUAUUACUUGCCAUGGUCAGAGUUAAUGUUAAUUGCCGUGGUUUGGUCAAGGUAUCAAUUGUUAUGUAAUUCGAACUAGACAACUAUGUCAUCACUUCUGAACGUAGAAAUGCCAAUGAUCAAGGCCAUGUCAAUGGUUCAGUGUAUUGGUUGCUUCUUCUUGAAUAUUUGUCCAAUUAUAAACAUUUUAGUUGAGUUUCAGAAGUUCAAAAACAUAAAAUUGCAUUGA